UUAAUUGAAGCCAAAAUAGAGGCAUAUCAUUGUUAAUGAUACUAGUGAAAAGUUUAAUUCCAAUUAAG
rnacentral:tRNA from 1 species